CCUCCCCUCAAGGCAUUGCAGGUGUAGCUGCUGGGUCACAGGUACAGCAGUAGGUGGCAGAGAGGAGAGAGACUAUGUCUACACUCAAUGUUCUGACCUAUGAACAUCUAAAUGAUUAGCAGCCUAGCAAU
rnacentral:snoRNA from 1 species